AUUAAGAAAUUUUAUAUCUUUAUUUUCCAUGUAUUUAUCUAUAUUUAUUUUUAUCUGUUUUUCUAGUAACUGCAUAUUUUUUAUAUCUUUUUUCUAAAAAUUUUAUGUAACUUAUCAUCGUAAGUAUUUAUAAGAGUAGUUAGGUAGUUGUGGUAUAUAAUUUAUUCUAGUCAUGUAAUAUUUACCAAAAGCUUUUUCUAAUAUGAUUUUUC
rnacentral:lncRNA from 1 species